rnacentral:rRNA from 1 species
AUGAACGCUGGCGGCGUGCCUAAUCCAUGCCAGUCGAGCGAACGGACGAGAAGCUUGCUUCUCUGAUGUUAGCGGCGGACGGGUGAGUAACACGUGGAUAACCUACCUAUAAGACUGGGAUAACUUCGGGAAACCGGAGCUAAUACCGGAUAAUAUUAUGAACCGCAUGGUUCAAAAGUGAAAGACGGUCUUGCUGUCACUUAUAGAUGGAUCCGCGCUGCAUUAGCUAGUUGGUAAGGUAACGGCUUACCAAGGCAACGAUGCAUAGCCGACCUGAGAGGGUGAUCGGCCACACUGGAACUGAGACACGGUCCAGACUCCUACGGGAGGCAGCAGUAGGGAAUCUUCCGCAAUGGGCGAAAGCCUGACGGAGCAACGCCGCGUGAGUGAUGAAGGUCUUCGGAUCGUAAAACUCUGUUAUUAGGGAAGAACAUAUGUGUAAGUAACUGUGCACAUCUUGACGGUACCUAAUCAGAAAGCCACGGCUAACUACGUG